ACCUCACUCACUGGAUGGAAGUUUUUCUGGACUAAAGAUGCUCAGUCAGUACAUCUGAUUACUGAUGAAAACACCAACACAAUCAGUAUAACAGUGUCUAAUACAGGAACAGAAGAGUAUAAAUGUGUAGCACGCAGAGAAUUCUACACAGAUUACAGUGAUCCAGUUAAGAUUACAGUCAGAGAGAGACCAAAGGCUAAAGUGAAAGUGCAGCCAGCUGAGCAUGUGUUCAUCAGAGAGAGAGUCACUCUCACAUGUGACAUAGAAGGUGGAGAUGUCUGGAGUUACGAGUGGUUUAAGAAUAAUAAACGUCUCAGUGAAGCUGAAAGGAGGAAGAAAUAUGAAAUCUCUAAUGUUGAUCAGUCUGAUGAAGGUGAUUAUAGCUGUAAGGGAACAAAGUCAACAGAGCCGCGUUACUCAGAGACCAGUGAUGCUGUUAGACUGACUGUAUCAG